GACGUAGGGCGCGAGCGUUGUCCGGAUUUAUUGGGCGUAAAGAGCUCGUAGGCGGCUUGUUGCGUCAGCUGUGAAAACCCGCAGCUCAACUGUGGGCUUGCAGCUGAUACGGGCAGGCUUGAGUUCGGUAGGGGAGACUGGAAUUCCUGGUGUAGCGGUGAAAUGCGCAGAUAUCAGGAGGAACACCGGUGGCGAAGGCGGCAUCCUGGACCGGCAUUGACGCUGAGGAGCGAAAGCCAGGGGAGCAAACGGG
rnacentral:rRNA from 1 species